CCUACGGGAGGCUGCAGUCGAGGAUCUUCGUCAAUGGGCGCAAGCCUGAACGAGCGACGCCGCGUGCGCGAUGAAGGCCUUCGGGUUGUAAAGCGCGAAAGUGGGGAGAUCAUCCACAGUAAGGACGGGCUAAGUUCGUGCCAGCAGCCGCGGUAAGACGAACUGUCCUAACGUUGUUCGGAAUCACUGGGCUUAAAGGGCGCGUAGGCGGUCGAUCAAGUCAGGGGUGAAAUCCUGCAGCUUAACUGUAGAAGUGCCUCUGAUACUGAUCGUCUGGAGGGAGAUAGGGGUGUGCGGAACUUCCAGUGGAGCGGUGAAAUGCGUUGAUAUUGGAAGGAACGCCGGAGGCGAAAGCGGCGCACUGGUCCUACUGACGCUGAGGCGCGAAAGCCAGGGGAGCAAACGGGAUUAGAUACCCUUGUAGUC
rnacentral:rRNA from 1 species